AAUAUGGAGGUCAAGGAAUAUUAACCAUGAUCAAUAUCUUCAAAGACAAUAAGCCGAAGAAUUGAUGGCCUCCGAAACUGCCUGGAAGUGUCUCUGCCUUGCAGAACUGCACAGGUUUACAAACUAAGUCGAAUAUUAAGAAUAUAAGCCAUUUUGUACACAUUGGAAGAAAUUUGACAGUAGUUUGCCAAAGUUGCUAUCUGUCUCUGCUAGGAUAGUCAUGCCCAGAAGGGCAUUAAAACAGUGGAGAGUCAAACAAGAGGCUGAUUUUCCAGUGCUGAGGUAAUUUGUUGAAUCAAAGCUUAUUAGCUCAGCUGAUUUUCACUUUGUAUUUAUGAGAUAGAAUCACGUGGUAUUUGCAGGUUUCAUUUCCCAUUUUCAGCACCUAGUUUCAAUGUUUUCUGUUACAGUUUUGAAUUUUGAUUGUGGUUCUGUUCUAAACAGCCAUGGUGGAAUUGUAUGUUAAGUUGAUGAUGUGUAAGAUUAUUUCAUUUCUUAAUAUUAAUAUUUAAAGAGAGAGUAGUUAAAAACUUAAAA